GGCCGGGCCCGGUGCACGGAUCGUCCGUGAACCUGGUCAGGGCUUGACCGCAGCAGCCAUAAGCGGCGCGGUCCGGGUCGCCGGUCACCUGGCCGUC
rnacentral:SRP_RNA from 1 species